rnacentral:rRNA from 1 species
CUCGUAGGCGGCCAACUAAGUCAGACGUGAAAUCCCUCGGCUUAACCGGGGAACUGCGUCUGAGACUGGAUGGCUUGAAUCCGGGAGAGGGAUGCGGAAUUCCAGGUGUAGCGGUGAAAUGCGUAGAUAUCUGGAGGAACACCGGUGGCGAAGGCGGCAUCCUGGACCGGCAUUGACGCUGAGGAGCGAAAGCCAGGGGAGCAAACGGGAUUAGAUACCCCGGUAGUCCUGGCCCUAAACGAUGAAUGCUUGGUGUGGCGGGUAUCGAUCCCUGCCGUGCCGAAGCUAACGCAUUAAGCAUUCCGCCUGGGGAGUACGGUCGCAAGGCUGAA